AUGAGCCAACACCAAGUUCGGUCAGCACAGUACAUCCAAGUAUAGAUGGGGAUUCCUGAGGGGAGAAAACAAAGGAAAAAUGUGAGCGAGGAGUUAAGAAGACGCAGAGAUGCCAGUGUCUUUAAAAGGAGCAAUCGCUGCCUUAUGUAACUCUGGCUCGUAGCUGCAGUCUGCCAUCACCUCCGGACACAGCAGGGAGUUUCUGAAGUGUCAGGUAUCAUCCUUGGUGCUGCCCGGGCAGAACGGGACUGCUGGGGUGGAGGAACCACCAGUUCCUGGGAGGCUAGAGUGGAGAGAGAGAUUGUGAUUGAUUUCUCGCUGAGGUGACACUGAUUCACAUCUACACAGGCAGAGGAGGCUUCCAUCAUUAGCUCGGCUACACCAGCAGGUGGCAGAUGCCCCAUAAGAGGCAUUCUGGAGGCUGGAGGGCAGCUGUAGGACUAAAGUCCACUGAGCCAAGAGGAGACGUCUGCACCAACCGUCUGUCAGUCUGUGUCACACAUCUGAGGAGCAACAGAAUCACUGGAGGCUUACAGCAGAAAUAUUAGCUUAAUCCACCUACAAAAAUAUGAGCAAUGGACUGGUUAAAGCUGCACUUGACCACCAUGAGGUUUAAAGACUCCGUAGCUACCCCGCUGCAGCAGAACCUUGAGAAGCUUCCAGGAGCUAGAGAGCGACAUGAGCCUUCUUUUAGAGUAAGUAAAGUAUUUA